UUCAUGUUCUAAAAAAAUGUACAACCAUCAUCUUAACUCCUUCCGACAUCAUAUUGGGACAGUAAUAUGGAAGACAGACCCUGCAUGCUGUAACUGGAGCCUUUCUUAAUCGUAGGUUCGAAUAAAUACGGCUGAAGCGAAAACUUUGCUUCGUCCGUUUCAAAUUUUACAUUAUUCGGUGAUAUAUCUUCGUCUACUUCAGAAGAGCUGCUAGUACUCGAUCGGGCCAUAAUUUAAAAUGAUCAGUAAGAGAAUAAACGAUCAAUAACAUAAUUUAUUUACCCAAAAUCACACCGAAAUGAACUACGAAGCUGUUAAUUUAUAGUGUUUACAUCAAAGACUGAGUGUUUCUAUCACACACUUACGUCACGGCACUCAUAGGACCACCCGCGGAUUCAACAAACAUGGCGGCGACAAUGGACGAAAAAUCAGUGAAACAAAGUUAAAUUUCUCGCAAACGAAAAAGAAUUGAGGCGAACGAAUAUUCAUUCCAAGGUAGGCUCAUAUAAAGCUUUCUUAUGAGCGACACUUGUUCUGGGGGUGGAGUGUCCCUUUAA